ensembl:snoRNA
GGGAUACGCUCAGAAGCCUGAAGGAUGGCUCCUCUGUUUACAACACACCCAACAGGAAGCCCGGGUCAUUGUAACAAAGGGGCACGAAGCUUAUGGCUUCCCUAUGAAAAAAUGCUCUAUACGU